rnacentral:rRNA from 1 species
CUGGUUGAUCCUGCCGGAGAUUAUCGCUGUUAGAGUUCCACUAACCCAUGCGAGUUCCUGGGUAAAACCAGAGCAAACGGCUGAGUAACACGUAGUUAACAUACCUUUGGGUGGAGAAUAACCUCGGGAAACUGAGACUAAUACUCCAUAGGCAAUAGCGCCUGGAAUGGUUUAUUGCCGAAAGCUUCGGCGCCCAAAGAUUGGACUGCGGUGGAUUAGGUUGAUGUCAGGGUAACGACCUGACAUGCCGAUAAUCCGUAGGGGCCAUGAAAGUGGUAGCCUCCAGAUGGAUUCUGAGACACGAAUCCAGGCCCUAUGGGGCGCAGCAGGGGGGAAAACUCCGCAAUGCACGAAAGUGUGACGGGGGAACUCUAAGUGCCAGCACACAGUGUUGGCUUUUCACUAGUCCAAAUCGCUAGUGGAAUAAGUGGGGGGUAAGACCGUUGCCAGCCGCCGCGGUAAUAACGGCUCCACAAGUGAUAGUCACGUAUAUUGGGUCUAAAGCAUUCGUAGCCGGCCUGUUAAGUCUUCUGUGAAAUCUGGCGGAAAACCGUCAGGCGUGCAGGAGAUACUGACGGGCUUGGGACUGGAAGGGGCUAGGGGUACUUUUGGGGUAGGGGUAAAAUCCUGUAAUCCCAAAGGGACCACCUGUGGCGAAGGCGCCUAGCUAGAACGGAUCCGACGGUGAGGAAUGAAAGCGUGGGGAGCAAAGGGGAUUAGAACACCCCCGUAGUCCACGCUGUAAACGAUGCCCGCUUGGUAUUGGAAAUUCCUAGUGUUUUUCCAGUGCCGUAGGGAAGCCAUUGAGCGGGCCACCUGGGAAGUACAGUCGCAAGGCUGAAGCUUAAAGGAAUUGGCGGGGGAGCACACAAGGGGUGCGGUUUGCGGUUCAAUUGGAUUCAACGCCGGGAACCUCACACAGGGGUGACAGCAGUAUGAUGGUCAGUCUAACGGGCUUACCUGACGCGCUGAGAGGUAUUGCAUGGCCGUCGUCAGCUCGUGCCGCGAGGUGUCCUGUUAAGUCAGGUAACGAGCGAGACCCACGCCGUAUGUUGCCACAUGCUUCUUCGGAGGCAAGGCACUCAUACGGGACUGCCCGUGCUAAAUGGGAGGAAGGAGUGGUCAACGGUAGGUCAGUAUGGUCCGAAUCCCCUGGGCUACACGCGGGCGCCAAUGGCAAGGACAAUAGGUUGCAACGCCGAAAGGCGAAGCUAAUCCCUGAACCCUUGUCCCAGUACAGAUUGAGGGUUGCAACUCACCCUCAUGACGCCGGAAUCCCUAGUAGGCGAAAGUUAGCAUCUUUCGUCGAAUACGUCCCUGCUCCUUGCACACAC